rnacentral:rRNA from 1 species
UAACUGACGCUAAAGCUCGAAAGUGCGGGUAUCGAACAGGAUUAGAUACCCUGGUAGUCCGCACGGUAAACGAUGGAUGCCCGCUGUUGGCGAUACAAUGUCAGCGGCCAAGCGAAAGCGUUAAGCAUCCCACCUGGGGAGUACGCCGGCAACGGUGAAACUCAAAGGAAUUGACGGGGGCCCGCACAAGCGGAGGAACAUGUGGUUUAAUUCGAUGAUACGCGAGGAACCUUACCCGGGCUUGAACUGCAGCAGAACGAUUGAGAGAUCAUGAGGUCCUUCGGGACUGCUGUGGAGGUGCUGCAUGGUUGUCGUCAGCUCGUGCCGUGAGGUGUCGGCUUAAGUGCCAUAACGAGCGCAACCCUUUUCCUUAGUUGCCAUCAGGUUAUGCUGGGCACUCUGGGGAUACUGCCACCGUAAGGUGUGAGGAAGGUGGGGAUGACGUCAAAUCAGCACGGCCCUUACGUCCGGGGCUACACACGUGUUACAAUGGGUGGUACAGAGAGUCGGUCGGCGGCAAUGCCGAUCCAAUCCUUAAAGCCAUCCUCAGUUCGGAUUGGGGUCUGCAACCCGACCCCAUGAAGCUGGAUUCGCUAGUAA